rnacentral:rRNA from 1 species
UACGGAAGGCAGCAGGGGGAAUAUUGCACAAUGGGCGCAAGCCUGAUGCAGCCAUGCCGCGUGUAUGAAGAAGGCCUUCGGGUUGUAAAGUACUUUCAGUCGUGAGGAAGGUGUUAAGGUUAAUAACCUUAGCAAUUGACGUUAGCGACAGAAGAAGCACCGGCUAACUCCGUGCCAGCAGCCGCGGUAAUACGGAGGGUGCGAGCGUUAAUCGGAAUUACUGGGCGUAAAGGGCACGCAGGCGGUUAAUUAAGUUGGAUGUGAAAUCCCCGGGCUAACCUGGGAAUGGCAUUCAAGACUGGUUAGCUAGAGUCUUGUAGAGGGGGUGAAUUCCAUGUGUAGCGGUGAAAUGCGUAGAGAUGUGGAGGAAUACCGGUGGCGAAGGCGGCCCCUGGACAAAGACUGACGCUCAUGUGCGAAAGCGUGGGGAGCAAACAGGGAUUAGAUACC